AACCCAGCAGUAGAAUGGAGCCUUUAUGAGUGCUUAAACUUGUGGGUACUAAAACUCACAAUAUUGUAGCAGGUAAAGGAUUUCUGAAAACGACAUUGAUUGUAUAUAGUUAAAUUAAAUAAGUUGAGCAUUUAAAUAUAAGAGUUCAUAAAAAAUAAACUGUAAGGAUUUAUGUUGACGCUUCCCCUUUAAGAAAGUCACCCCGACCGCGUGCAGCAGCUGCGCGCACCAUUUUGUACAGCUACAGAGGAAGAGUGAAGCAGAGAGAUCGCGAGCAGAUUCACUUUGAGUUUAACUUGAGUAAAGUUGAUAUUAACACUCAAAAAAAGGAUAGAUACUGAUACUUGACUAGUUAGCAACCUAAACGGAAUGCAUUUGGGUGAAUGACGAUUGUUUGGUCAGGUUUUAUGUUCCAGAAAAAAAACGGACAAAGACUCUUCCUUGAAGUGUGUGUGCGCGUGCAUGGGCACACAUGUGGAAAAGACGUGCAUGACGAGAAAACUAAGAUGGCGAGCCAACCCGGAUUGUAAACGUCCUCAUCUCCUUUCGGUAACCAGGGGACCUAUCGCAUCACCUGGUAACACAUUGACAGAGCAUUAGGAGUGAUUGUUGUAUUUGGAUCGGAUUACUAUCCUUUUCUCAUUUUUUCCAACUCGAUUGGAGUUUUUUCCCAUUGAACAUUCUGAGCUGUGUUAUUAAGAAAAGGAAGUACACAGCUUUGUUGCACACAAACUGAACUUUAUUGCAUUCAUUGCAUGAACUGAAAAAAGUGCAUUACAUUUUCUGAAGUGAACUUUUCCAAUUUUUCCAUUUUAGUUCAUAGUUUUAUUGUGAUGUGAUUGUGUUGCUUUAAGUGCAACUAAUUUGUUUUCUUCUUUUACCUGUGGAAAAAAA